rnacentral:rRNA from 1 species
CAAUAGCGUAUAUUAAAGUUGUUGCAGUUAAAAAGCUCGUAGUUGGAUUUGUGGUUCGUCCCGCCGGCUGGGUCAUUGACUUUUGCUGUGCUGGUCGUCCAUCCUUGGGUGGAAUCUGUGUGGCAUUAGGUUGUCGCGCAGGGGAUGCCCAUCGUUUACUGUGAAAAAAUUAGAGUGUUCAAAGCAGGCUUAUGCCGUUGAAUAUAUUAGCAUGGAAUAAUGAUAUAGGACCUUGGUACUAUUUUGUUGGUUUGCGCACUGAGGUAAUGAUUGAUAGGGACAGUUGGGGGUAUUCGUAUUCCAUUGUAAGAGGUGAAAUUCUUGGAUUUUUGGAAGACGAACUACUGCGAAAGCAUUUACCAAGGAUGUUUUCAUUAA